UAUUUCAUCACAGAGUGGUUAGCGUGUCGUUCUUAUAUUCUUCCCUACACAGGGAUAAAUAUGAAGUUAUGCGAAAGUCGUGGGUUCGACACCCACCUGGAGUAA